rnacentral:rRNA from 1 species
UGCGCUGCUACACAUGCAGUCGAACGAUGAAGCUGGAGCUUGCUCCGGUGGAUUAGUGGCGAACGGGCGAUUAACACGUGAGAAAUCUGCCCUUGACUCUGGGAUAACUGCGGGAAACUGUAGCUAAUACCGGAUACUUUCCCUGGUGGGCAUCCACUGGGGAAGAAAGAAUUUCGGUCAAGGAUGAUCUCGCGGCCUAUCAGCUAGUUGGUGAGGUAACGGCUCACCAAGGCGACGACGGGUAGCCGGCCUGAGAGGGUGACCGGCCACACUGGGACUGAGACACGGCCCAGACUCCUACGGGAGGCAGCAGUGGGGAAUAUUGCACAAUGGGCGCAAGCCUGAUGCAGCAACGCCGCGUGAGGGAUGACGGCCUUCGGGUUGUAAACCUCUUUUAGCAGGGAAGAAGCGAAAGUGACGGUACCUGCAGAAAAAGCACCGGCUAACUACGUGCCAGCAGCCGCGGUAAUACGUAGGGUGCAAGCGUUGUCCGGAAUUAUUGGGCGUAAAGAGCUCGUAGGCGGUUUGUCACGUCUGCUGUGAAAAUCCAAGGCUCAACCUUGGACUUGCAGUGGGUACGGGCAGGCUAGAGUGCGGUAGGGGAGAUGGGAAUUCCUGGUGUAGCGGUGGAAUGCGCAGAUAUCAGGAGGAACACCAAUGGCGAAGGCACAUCUCUGGGCCGUAACUGACGCUGAGGAGCGAAAGCGUGGGGAGCGAACAGGAUUAGAUACCCUGGUAGUCCACGCCGUAAACGGUGGGUGCUAGCUGUGGGCCACAUUCC